GGGGGUAUAGCUCAGUGGUAGAGCACUUACCUAGCAUGUGCAAAGGCCCUAGUAUGUACAAGCCCCUGGGUUAGAUCCCCAGUACCACAA
rnacentral:tRNA from 1 species